UGCAUGAAAAACCCAUUUCUUUAUUUUUUGCACCGACGGUUCGAUUCUGUAGCUGUUUCCCUGCCUGCAGUUGCUCUUGCAGCUGCGUCUCUCCUCCGCACCCAAAAUCCCGUGACCCAGAGUGCCUUAGCACAAUAUAUGCUCUGAUCCCUUGCACGAAUGUGUCGUUGGGUUCCAUUGAUAUCGGUAGGGCGGAAGGCAGGGAGGCCGACAGCAGGUGGCGCCAAAGAGCCAGCGACAGGCACAGCCAACUGACACCAGCCUUGAUCCCCUGUUACGGAGUUCUACAAGGGCCACACUGAGACCAAGGAGGAAGAAGCCGACAGACAGCGCCAUCCCUUGGACUGGAUGCAAGUGGGAACGCAUGUCAAGGAUGGAGGUUGGUGGGAUGGAGCCCCAUUUGCCCUAAAAACAGGCCGGGGGUCCACCGACUGCGACGAGAAACCUGGUCAGGUUCACUUUGGCGUUACCGCCUGCGUUACUCAGGGAAGUACAGGAACAGGCCUGUGUGGAAAUGUUAUGGCUUCUUUCCUAGCUCGGCAGGAUUCCCCCCCCCCAUGCAUAAUACGAUUAAAUUGGUUACAGUGGUACCUCUGGUUAUGUACUUAAUUCGUUCCGGAGGUCCGUUCUUAACCUGAAACUGUUCUUAACCUGAGGUACCACUUUAGCUAAUGGGGCCUCCCACUGUUUCCACAUGAUUUCUGUUCUCAUCCUGAAGCAAAGUUCUUAACCCAAGGUCCUAUUUCUGGGUUAGCGGAGUCUGUAACCUGAACCCUCUGUAACCCGAGGUAAAGGGACCCCAGACCAUUAGGUCCAGUCGUGGCCGACUCUGGGGUUGCAGCGCUCAUCUCGCUUUACUGGCCGAGGGAGCUGGCAUACAGCUUCCAGGUCAUGUGGCCAGCAUGACUAAGUCACUUCUGGCGAACCAGAACAGCGCAUGGAAACGCUGUUUACCUUCCCGCCGAAGCACCACUUCAGCUAAUGGGGCCUCGCGCCGCCGCUGCGUGAUUUCUGUUCUCAUCCUGAAGCAAAGUUCUUAACCCAAGGUACUAUUUCUGGGUUAGCGGAGUCUGUAACCUGAAGCGUAUGUAACCCGAGGUACCACUGUACUAAAUUUUUCUGCUUCACACACUCCUCUAAAAACAGGCUCCACAUUGUUUUUAUAAAAGUCUGGUUUAAGCAACUGCAUAGUACGCUCCUAAGCAUAGCUGUCAACGUUUCCCCUUUUUAAAGGGAAAUUCUCUUAUUCCGAAUAGGAUUCCUCGCAAGAAAAGGGAAAAGUUGACAGCUGUACUCCUAAGAUUUCCUCUCUUUUUUUUUGCAUGGGAUCUUUGCUGCUCAACUAUGUCAGACCGGGGAGUAAAACCGUUUCCAUUCCCCAUCCCACAGGAAGCACUCCCCACACCCCACACCCCUCAAAAAAGCCCCCUAAA